rnacentral:rRNA from 1 species
CCUACGGGGGGCUGCAGUGGGGAAUAUUGGACAAUGGGGGGAACCCUGAUCCAGCCAUGCCGCGUGUGUGAAGAAGACCCUCGGGUUGUAAAGCACUUUCAGUGAGGAAGAACGCCUGGUGGUUAAUACCCAUCAGGAAAGACAUCACUCACAGAAGAAGCACCGGCUAACUCCGUGCCAGCAGCCGCGGUAAUACGGAGGGUGCGAGCGUUAAUCGGAAUUACGGGGCGUAAAGCGCGCGUAGGUGGCUUGAUAAGCCGGUUGUGAAAGCCCCGGGCUCAACCUGGGAACGGCAUCCGGAACUGUCAAGCUAGAGUGCAGGAGAGGAAGGUAGAAUUCCCGGUGUAGCGGUGAAAUGCGUAGAGAUCGGGAGGAAUACCAGUGGCGAAGGCGGCCUUCUGGACUGACACUGACACUGAGGUGCGAAAGCGUGGGUAGCAAACAGGAUUAGAUACCCCAGUAGUC